AGAGAAAGACGACUGAAUUUGAAUAUAAUUCAGCUAAAAAUGUGUUUUACUUUGCUGUCCAUCUUUUUUUUAAAAUCUAUCAUGUUAGAGUCUCGUAGCUCAGCUGGUUAGAGCGCUACACUGAUAAUGUAGAGGUCGGCAGUUCGAGUCUGCCCGAGACUACUAAUUUAUGAUAGUUUAAUUGGGAAUAUAGAGUUGAGAUACUAUAAUAUUCAACGUUCUUUUCUCAGAAUGGGGGAUUAGCUCAGCUGGCUAGAGCGCCUGCCUUGCACGCAGGAGGUCAUCGGUUCGAUUCCGAUAUUCUCCACUAUAGUUUUUAAAACUAAAACGUUCAUUGACAUAUUGAAAUAAAUAAGAUACAUAAUAAUAAAGGUAUAAAUCAUAAAUCGAGCCGAUUUUUGAUUUGUACGAGCAAAGUAAAAAUUACAAUUUUAAGAGAAAGUAAAGUUAC
rnacentral:tRNA from 1 species